rfam:Canis lupus familiaris chromosome 30, whole genome shotgun sequence.
GUUCGUUUUGGCAGCACAUGUACUAAAAUUGGAAUGAUACGGAGAAGAUUAGCAUGGCCCCUGCACAAAGAUGACUUGCAAAUUCAUGAAGCAUUCCAUAUUUUC